UGUUCUGUGGCUUAGUUGGUUAAAGCGCCGGAUAAGAGGUACGGAGUCGUUGGUUCGAAUCCUACCAAAACAA
rfam:Aedes albopictus isolate Foshan contig172, whole genome shotgun sequence.